rnacentral:rRNA from 1 species
GAGUUUGAUCUUGGCUCAGAUUGAACGCUGGCGGCAUGCCUUACACAUGCAAGUCGAACGGUAACGGGUCCUUCGGGAUGCCGACGAGUGGCGAACGGGUGAGUAAUAUAUCGGAACGUGCCCAGUAGUGGGGAGUAACUGCUCGAAAGAGCAGCUAAUACCGCAUACGACCUGAGGGUGAAAGGGGGGGAGUCGCAAGACCUCUCGCUAUUGGAGCGGCCGAUAUCAGAUUAGCUAGUUUGGUGGGGUAAAGGCCUACCAAGGCAACGAUCUGUAGUUGGUCUGAGAGGACGACCAGCCACACUGGGAC